rnacentral:rRNA from 1 species
AGAUUGAACGCUGGCGGCAUGCCUAACACAUGCAAGUCGAACGGGAGUAGCAAUACCCUAGUGGCGGACGGGUGAGGAAUACGUAGGAAUUUGCCCUUAAGUGGGGGAUAACCCGGGGAAACCCGGAUUAAUACCGCAUGACCUCGAAAGAGCAAAGUGGGGGAUCGCAAGACCUCACGCUUUUGGAGAAGCCUACGUCGGAUUAGCUAGUUGGUGAGGUAAUGGCUCACCAAGGCGACGAUCCGUAACUGGUCUGAGAGGAUGAUCAGUCACACCGGAACUGAGACACGGUCCGGACUCCUACGGGAGGCAGCAGUGGGGAAUAUUGGACAAUGGGCGCAAGCCUGAUCCAGCAAUGCCGCGUGUGUGAAGAAGGCCGUUGGUUGUAAAGCGACUUUAAGGUUAGGGAAAGAAAAACUACGACUCUAACUACAGUGAGUCUUGACGGUACGACAAGAA